ensembl:snRNA Gm23196 U6 spliceosomal RNA
GCGCACUCUCUUCAGUAGCACAUACCCUAAAAUUGGAGCAAUACAGGGAAGAUGCUCAUGGCCCCUGUGUAAGCAUGACACACAAAUUCGUUAAGCGGUUUAUAGUUU